GAUGAACGCUGGCGGCGUGCUUAACACAUGCAAGUCGAGCGGGAAUGCAGAGGCGGAAUUUUUCGGAAGGAAGCCUUUGUGUUUUAGCGGCGGACGGGUGAGUAACGCGUGGAUAACCUGCCCCAUACCGGGGGAUAACAGUUAGAAAUGACUGCUAAUACCGCAUAAGCGCACGGAGCCGCAUGGCGCAGUGUGAAAAACUCCGGUGGUAUGGGAUGGAUCCGCGUCUGAUUAGCUAGUUGGCGGGGUAACGGCCCACCAAGGCAGCGAUCAGUAGCCGACCUGAGAGGGUGGCCGGCCACAUUGGGACUGAGACACGGCCCAA
rnacentral:rRNA from 1 species